UUAUAAAGUCAACAGUCACAGACUGGCCUUGCAUCACUGGACCCAAACCUUUGACCUAACUUUCCCGUCUAAGGGCCAGCCCCCCUCUGACAUCUAGCCCGGCAUUCCAUCCUCCAGCUGAACAUCUUGAGCUGGACUGUCUCCAUUUGGACAAGGAAAACUGCCUCUCUUCACUCGCACAUGGAAAGGAGGGCUCAGUCAGUGUUAGCUGAGGACCAGAGAAGCAUGUACUUCCAGCAUCAACACGGUGGUAACCGGUUUGCGAGAACUAUCGGUUCUGAUAGCUCAGGAGUCUUCUAGAUUGUCGCUUGGGGAUCCCCUGGGACCUCGAUAGAUGAACAUG
rnacentral:lncRNA from 1 species